CGGGGUGUAGCGCAGCCUGGUAGCGCAUCUGUUUUGGGAACAGAGGGUCGUGAGUUCGAAUCCCACCACCCCGACCA
rnacentral:tRNA from 2 species